rnacentral:tRNA from 1 species
GGUGGCUCAGUGGUAGAGCGAUUGCCUUGCAUGCAUGGAGCCCUGGGUUCGAUUCCUCAGCACCA